GACAGAGGGUGCGAACGUUGCUCGGAAUUACUGGGCGUAAAGCGCGUGUAGGCGGACCAAUGUGUCAGAUGUGAAAGCCCUGAGCUCAACUCAGGAACUGCAUUUGAAACUGUUGGUCUUGAGUGUUGGAGAGGGUCGUGGAAUUCCUGGUGUAGAGGUGAAAUUCGUAGAUAUCAGGAGGAACACCGGUGGCGAAGGCGGCGACCUGGACAAUGACUGACGCUGAGACGCGAAAGCGUGGGGAGCAAACAGG
rnacentral:rRNA from 1 species